rnacentral:rRNA from 1 species
UGGGGGAUAUUGCACAAUGGGGGAAACCCGUACGAUGCAGCGACGCCGCGUGAGUGAAGAAGUAUUUCGGUAUGUAAAGCUCUAUCAGCAGGAAAGAUAAUGACGGUACCUGACUAAGAAGCACCGGCUAAAUACGUGCCAGCAGCCGCGGUAAUACGUAUGGUGCAAGCGUUAUCCGGAUUUACUGGGUGUAAAGGGAGCGUAGACGGUAAAGCAAGUCUGAAGUGAAAGCCCGCGGCUCAACUGCGGGACUGCUUUGGAAACUGUUUAACUGGAGUGCUGGAGAGGUAAGCGGAAUUCCUAGUGUAGCGGUGAAAUGCGUAGAUAUUAGGAGGAACACCAGUGGCGAAGGCGGCUUACUGGACAGUAACUGACGUUGAGGCUCGAAAGCGU